ensembl:snoRNA
AUCCUUUUGUGGUUUGUAAGUGUGAUGGUUGAGUUUAAGUGCUUUUGUGUGAGACGUGCUUCCCUCAAACCUUGUUACAAUGUUGGCACAUUACCCAUCUGACA